AGUGGCGCACGGGUGAGUAACGCGUAUGCAACCUACCUUUCACAGUGGGAUAGCCCAGAGAAAUUUGGAUUAAUACCGCAUAGUAUACGGGACCAGCAUUGGACCUGUAUUAAACAUUUAUGGGUGAGAGAUGGGCAUGCGUUCUAUUAGUUAGUUGGUAAGGUAACGGCUUACCAAGACAGCGAUAGAUAGGGGCCCUGAGAGGGGGAUCCCCCACACUGGUACUGAGACACGGACCAGACUCCUACGGGAGGCAGCAGUGAGGAAUAUUGGACAAUGGGCGCAAGCCUGAUCCAGCCAUGCCGCGUGCAGGAAGACGGCCCUAUGGGUUGUAAACUGCUUUUAUACAGGAAGAAACAACUCUACGUGUAGAGUCUUGACGGUACUGUAAGAAUAAGGAUCGGCUAA
rnacentral:rRNA from 1 species